rnacentral:rRNA from 1 species
GACGAACGCUGGCGGCGUGCUUAACACAUGCAAGUCGAACGAAGUGGCGAACGGGUGAGUAAUAUGUGGGUAACCUGCCCUCCUUUUUGGGAUUAGCCUUGGAAACGGGGUCUAAUACCGAAUAAAGGGGGAUGUGCUCGCGGCCUAUAAGCUUGUUGGUGGGGUGUUUGCCUACCAAGGCGGUGACGGGUAGACGGCCUGAGAGGGUGACCGGCCACAUUGGGACUGAGAUACGGCCCAGACUCCUACGGGAGGAAGCAGUGGGGGAUAUUGCUCAAUGUACGAAAGCCUGAUGCAGCGACGCCGCGUGGGGGAUAAAGGCUUUCGGGUUGUAAACCUCUUUCGCGAUCGAACGGGUAGGUUGAGAAGAAGCGCCGGCUAACUACGUGCCAGCAGCCGCGGUAAUAC